rnacentral:rRNA from 1 species
UUUUCCUACGGGGGGCAGCAGUGGGGGAUAUUGGACAAUGGGGGGAACCCUGAUCCAGCGACGCCGCGUGAGUGAAGAAGUAUCUCGGUAUGUAAAGCUCUAUCAGCAGGGAAGAAGAAAUGACGGUACCUGAGUAAGAAGCCCCGGCUAACUACGUGCCAGCAGCCGCGGUAAUACGUAGGGGGCAAGCGUUAUCCGGAAUUACUGGGUGUAAAGGGAGCGUAGACGGUGAUGUAAGUCUGGAGUGAAAGGCGGGGGCCCAACCCCCGGACUGCUCUGGAAACUAUGUGACUGGAGUGCCGGAG